CAGAGGAGCUGGUACACUAACAGCCUGUCAUGGUGGCUCCUGGACUAAGAAUGCCUUCCUGCCCUUUCAUGUGGUCCAUAAGGCAGGGCUCCCCCUCCACACAUGCCCACAGAGGCCUGUGUCUCCUACUAAGUUGUGCUCGUGUUCAUGGGAGGGGCUGGGCCUUGCUUUUGUCACUGUUCCCAAUGUCUACUUCGAAACAGCAACCAAAAGUUUGAUUAAAGGGAAAACAAUGAGGGAAUGAGGAAAGAAACUGGAAUUAAGAUUUCUAUGAAGAAAAAAAAGAAGGAAAGAAAAACAGAAGGAAAGAAACGUAGGCCAUCACUAAAAUAAGAAGAGCCUCAUGACCAAGCUUCCCCAGUCCUCGGCACUGGUUUCUAAAAUCCUCAAGAGGAAAAAGUGUUGUUUUGUGUGUUUUUUAAAGGAAAGUAGAUAAAAGCCAUCUGGCACAUACGCACUUCCCCACUCAGCCCUACCCUAACACACACACCCUGGCUAAGCUCCUGGCAGACUCGCCUGGUCCCUGGAGUGUCCCCAUCCCUCUCCUGUUCCCAUCAGCUCCGACUUUCUAGCAGACAGACGACGCUGCCCAGCAUCAAAGCACCUCACGUAAUCGCCUUUCCAAGAAGCUUUCCUGGUACACCCAACCAUGUAAUCUGAAUGCUUAGAAUGGGGAACACAGACAAGCCAGCCACGUUUGCUCUCUAAUCAUUAACUUCUCUCCCAGCUAGAACUCACAUUGCCCCAGGAAAAUAACAGCAUCUCCAACAGUGCUUGGGAGGAUCGCAUUCAGCAACCCAGAGCAGGCCCAGGAUCAACCUGGUGCCCAGCAAGGGGGUGGCUCAUGGCAUCCCAGCUUCGUGGGACUCUCUUCCCCCAGGCAUAAUAACUAUGUCCAAGGUACGAAGAAAGGCAUUGCUAAAAACAUGCAUCAGCAUAAACCAGUCUUUAUUCCCACAAAGUUUUUCAACCAGUCGGAGAGGUCAGGUUAUUUUCAUGAAACUGUCUUUCUACUUUGGAUCUCUGUUGAUUGCCAAGCUGCACCUGCAGAGUUUAGUCAGAAGUAAUAAGUAAAGCACUGAUCACUCCAAUUCUUUGAACAGCUAUAAAUGAGGCUUCUAUUAAUACAUUUCUACUUGAAGAGCCAUGUCCUAUGAGGUUCAAUGUGUAUUUAAGAGAACUGGAUCCAAAUUCAGAAUCGCAAAUCCUCCAAAAAAACAAAUUGUUAUAUAUUUUGUGGUAUUUUGUUUGCUUUUAACUUGAGCCCUCGACUCCAGAAACACAAUCUCUGCACAUUUUUUAAGGAAAUCUGACCACUCCGUUUCUGGGAAUAUUGGCUCUUGUCUUCUGUUUGACCCCUACACAAAGGCUCAUGUUUUCAGCAUUUGUGUACACACACACACACACACAGAGACAGUCAGUUAAUUCUGUCAAGAACCACUAGUAAUGGAAAUUGGAGACAGAGAGCAGAAACAAAUUUGGCAGUAAUUCUUGCACGAGUAUGUGCAAAGUCAAGCACUGGUUAAACACAGUUCUCAUGGUUUUUUUAGACUUGACAAAGGGCGUGUGCAACUUCAUUAAAGAUUUUUAAUGGUUACAUUAAAAUUACGUUUCACAGAAAGUCAAAUCUCACAUGUUCUCACUCAUGUGGGUGCUAAAUAAUGCCUACACGUGAAUGGAGAGUGGAGAAUGACAGCAAUGGAGGCCGGGAAGGCUGAGGGAACGGGAGGAAGGGGGAUGGCGAGAAAUUGGUUAAUGGGCACUGAGGGAAUGGGAGGAAGGAUGGUGAGGAACUGGUGAAGGGUACAGUGUACAUUAUUUGGGUGAUGGAUACCCUGAAAUCUCUGAUUUGACCACUAUGCAAUCUAUGAAUAUAAAUUUAUACAGAUCUUUUCCAAAGCUGUGUUUCAAAAGACUGAAAGUCUGGUUCAUUAGUACUGAACAAUAUGGGAUAACAGCAGUUUAUAUUAAUAAAAGACUUGGCAUUUGUAUUAUAAAACAAUUCAUGUUAGAGACUUGUUAACCCUAAGGGGUAAUACAAAUAUUAUCAUUCAUAUUUUCACUGUUUAUUAUAGUUCUAAGAAUGCAUUUAUAUCAUGAUUUCAUUCUACCCCUUUGAAAAUUCUGAUGAUUAUUUCCACUUGAUAGAUAAACGGGAAAGGGUUUAUUGCCCCAAAAUAUCAUAACGAGUUAAUGGUAUUCCAGGAAUGUACCCUAUGCUUCCCGACUCUCACCCACCUUUCCAUCACUCUAGCGCACUACCUUCUGGCUCACCAGGGGUUGUUCCUUUUAUGCGGCAGUUCUUUAGUUUUUAAAAAAAAUCUACCUCAGUCACCAAGACGUGGCCUUUACAAGGUGAAAUAAAGAGCUAUAACAACACUGACUUCUUUCAAAUUAAAAACAGAUAAUUUUAAAGACAUCAACUAUUUGGAAAGUAAGCACUAUAUUCCCAAAUAAACCAUUAGUCAAAGAAGAAAUCAAGACAGAAAUUAGAAAAUAUUUUGAGCUGAAUAAUAAAAGUACAAAAUAUCAAAACGUAGAGGGUGCCGUUAACACUGUGUGUAGAAUGAGACAUGUAGCCUUCAAUGCAUGCAUAAGGAAAAAAGGCUAAAAACUCAAUUAUCUAAGUGUACGCUUCAGGAAGUUGCGAUAAUUACAGCAAAUUAAGCUAAAAAAAAGUAGAAGCAAAAUAAUAAAGAAAAAGAACUACAUAAAGUAGAAAAUAAUCACACUACAGGAAAAAAAAUUAACAUAGCCCAGAAAGAUAUUUUUUGAGAGAACUAAUAAAAUUGAUAAACUUCUGGCAAGACUGUGAAGAAGAAAAGGCAGCAGGCACAGGGCAUUUUUACUCCAGUUACCACACAGAAGAGCAUGCAAGACCAUCACUCCCACCCUGACAAAUAAAACAAGUGGAUAUGCUUAAAAAAAAAAAAAAAAGUCCUAGUACGUCUGAACCGUUCUGAGCAAUGAAGAUGCAAAAAACCUACAUGAACUAAAUCCUAAAAGUGAAGGCUCCUUUGCAGGAAAAAAGUGACCCACAGGCCCCCUUCUAACUGGUAGAAUGGUGGGUGAAGGGGGAACCCACCAUAUUUGGGACAGGGAAGAAGCCAGCCAAGUUCUCACUGUGUGGGCUGGCAUACCUGUUGACAAUUCAAGGUGCCCCGGUGACAGAAUGAGUCCACAGUCACCUGCCAACUCUCUCCAAGGUCUUUACUGGGUAUGCAGGUACAGAACAGAAGCUGGAGGCAAGGAAACAGAGUUUGGAGAGUCCCCACCCCACCCCGCCGCCCCCAGAGGCACAGCCCUUCUCCCAGGUGCAAGGCAGUUGCCCUACAGGGGAAGGCAGGGAAGCAGAGAGACGCCCCUCCCAGGAGGCCCAGGCUUCCCAGAGCAUCCACAGCUGGAGACAGAGCACAGCACAGAGGGAUUUCGCCCAAGGCACAAAAAGCCAGAGGCAAGACUGCAGAGAAAAGAGACCACUUAGCAAGUGAAAAAGCUGGCCGGUAGGCCAAAAACAAAAACAAAAUCAAGCUGGUUUAGAAAGCUGGCACUUGUCUGUAGCACACAAAAGAGAUCUUCAGAUUUUCACCACGGGUCUUGGGUCCUGGGCCAUGCCAUGCCAACGACAGGAAACUCCUGAUCCAACACGUCAAUGGUUUGGAAGGCAGUAGGGGAGUGAGAGUGAGGCAAGGUGAAGCUGCAACAACGUGCAGCCCCUCCCCACCUGCAGGAGAGCCAGAUACAGGCUGCCAGUGGGGAGCAGGGUAGGAGGCGGGCACACCCUUCUCCAGGGAAAUAGGACUCUUGUCAGUCUCUGCUGUUCUUCUACACAAAACGCAUGGAAUGUCAUGGAAACUCCUGAGACAAAUUCAACAGAGGCAGCCCAAGAGCUGGGCCCAAUAUUGGAAUGACCAAAGAUGUUAAAAUAACUAAAAUAAAACAUGCUGAAAUAGCUCAUGAAAAGGCAGGCGACAUAAAGAGAUGGAGAACUUCAGCAGAGAUGGAAACGAUUUAAAAAAGAAAGAAAGAAAUGCCAGAAGUGAAAAAUGGAUCUCAGAAAAGAUGACGUCAUCAGCUGGGCUGAAGAGCCCACAGGAGAGAAGAGGACCCGUAAGCCCGAGUACAGGUAAAUAGAAGCGUCCACCCAAGCUGAGGCACGGAAGGAGUGAAGGAAACCACAACGGAGUAUCCACAAUCUACGGGAAGUAUCAGAGGACCCAACAUACCUACAGAUGCAACUUCAAAAGGAGAGGAGAGGCCGGGCACGGUGGCUCAUGCCUGUCAUCCCAGCACUUUGGGAGGCUGAGGCAGGCGGAUCACCUGAGGUCAGGAGUUCGAGACCAGCCUGACCAACAUAGAGAAACCCCGUCUCUACUAAAAAUACAAAAUUAGCUGCAGGUGGUGGCACACGCCUGUAAUCCCAGCUACUUGGGAGGCUGAGGCAGGAGAAUCGCUUGAACCCGGGAGGUGGAGGUUGCGGUGAGCAGAGAUAGUGCCAUUGCACUCCAGCAUGAACAAGAGUGAAACUCUGUCUCCAAAAAAAAAAAAAAAAAAAAAGGGAGAGGAGAGAAAAAUGAGGCAAGAGAGGACGGCCAAAAGCUUCCCCAAGUGAAGCUUUUGAGAGACACCAACCCAUAGAACAAAGAAGCACAACCAACCCUGAGAAAGAGAAAAACCCACACCACCGCACUGAGACACAUCGCAGUCAGCUGCUGAAAACCAGAUGUGGAGAACAAAUCUUAAGAGGAGGAAGGCGGGAAAGGACACUCCACACCCGGAGGACCAAUGGGCACAAAGGGCGGGUGACGUCUCAUCCGAGCGAGGGAGAAAUGAAGACCCUUCCAGACAGUCAAGGCUCCGAGAGUUGACUUCCAGAAGAUUCGCUGUAUAAAAAAAGGUUUCUUAAAAUUUUGUUUUAAUAACUUCUUUGGGGUAAAAGGAAAUGAAAGUGACUGAACACCCAAAUCUUCAGGAGGAAAUGAAGGGCAUGUGGAAGGUGAAUUCAGCCCGGUGAAUAUUAAAGACGUGGCUUCAAAUGUGGGUGUCCACAGGAUUCAGGUUCUGCAAGGACAAUGGAUACAGUAAACAUAUUGUGGUUCUUCCUUGAGAACUCUGGCAAAGCCACUAUGGUACCUGCACAGCACAUUAAAGCCACUCUGUGUUCACCUAGGGCUGCUUGAAACCACAAGAUGCUAAGAAAUCCCUAUAGCGUCGCCCCCACGCCCCCCGGCUGGCUAUGUGAACUUGGGAUCCACCAGCACCAGGACUCUGCUACGUCCUGAUGAGAAAAGGAAAGCAGCAUUUUCAAAACUGCUUAAGAUGGUUGCCUUAGGGUGUUUUGGUUUAUUUUGAAAUUCGAGACAGCAGCUUAUUCACCAUGUGGUUUCUUCUUUCAGCAGACACAGGAAGAGUCUGUCUCUCAGCCUCCCCCACAGUUUGGCCAAAGGAGUGUGGGAAGCGGUGAUGUAAGUCCAGUUCUUGCCCCCAGAAACAUCCUGCUGUCAUCAGCUAUCCGGCCUGUUCUCUGCAGGCGUAUGCGGAGCCUAAUGAGAUGCAGAGGUGGUGGCAGAGGAAAAGCAACAGUGGUAAGAGCAGCUUUUACUUAUGUAAGGCUCAUGACAUGCUUUCUGCCAUUGUGAACACUCUGUCUUAGCAUCUCGUCCUCACAAUAGCUCUAGAAAGCAGAUACCAUUAUUAUACCCACCUUUACAGAUGAAGAAACAGAGGCACUGAGAAGUCACAUAGCUUGUCCAAGAAACACAGUGCCUAACAGCUAGGGCUCAGGUCAUAGUCCCAGGAGUCUGACUCCAGUCUGUGCUCUACCUAUACCGUCUGAAAUGGUUUAGCUGUGUCCCCACCCAAGUCUCAUCUUGAAUUGUAGUUCCCAUAAUCCCCAUGUCUCAUGGGAGGGACCCAGUGGGAGGUAAUUGAAUCAUGGGGGCGGUUACCUUCAUGCUGUUCUCGUGAUAGUUACUGAGCUCUCAGGAGAUCUGAUGCUUUUAUAAGGGGCUUUCCCCUCUUUUGCUCCGCACUUCUCUCCUGCUGCCAUGUGAAGAAGGACGUGUUUGCUUCCCCUUCUGCCAAGAUUGUAAGUUUCCCAAGGCCUCCCCAGCCAUGUGGAACUGUGAGUCAAUGUAACCUCUUUCCUUUAUAAAUUACCCAGUCUAAGGUAUUUCUUCAUAGCGGCAUGAGAAGACUAAUACACUAUCUCUCCACACAAUACUGGCUCCCAAGUCCUUUUCCUGGCUGUGUUAUAUUAUGCUGAACUUAAGAAGCAAUUAUAAAAAUCAAGUAAAACUUUAUUCAAAGUGGUUGUGGGAUGCCAUUUACCCUAACUGCCUAUCUGACUACAAAAAGACUUAUUUUCUCUGAUAUCCUACCACUUCCCUGAGGCCUCCUCUUAAAAGGAAAUGGGGGUGCUGAGCAAGGGUAGUUAUUACCAAACCUGGCUUUGCCUCAGUCAUCUGAGAACUCCUUAAAAAGAGAAUUAUAAGCAAAGAAUACAGACAAAAACAGCAAAGGAUAUAAACACAGUUCACAGAAAUACUGAUACAACUGUAGGCUCUUAAACCCUAUAAAAAAUACUCAGUGUCAUUCACAAUAAGAGGAGUGCAGAUUACAACUAGACUGAGAUACCAUCCUUCCACAUCAGACUAGCAAAAACUCACAAGUUGGCUAACACACUCUAUUGGCAAGGCUACAGGAAGAAAAGGCACUCUGAUAUAUUGUUGGUGGGAGGGAAAAUUGGUAAACCUCCUAGGAGAGUGCCUUAGCUAUACAUCAAAAUUAUAA
rnacentral:lncRNA from 10 species